rnacentral:lncRNA from 1 species
CUCUUUAUUCCCAGCACUCUGAGGCUCGCACAUGGAAGCACUUCCUUCCAGAAGGUCUGUGAGAAUCUAAAACUCCUCUUUCAGAGCAGUGCAAGGGGGGAGGGCGGAGGAACACCAGAUGACCUCACCCAUUCAGAUGUAUUGAGUGCUUUACUCUGCCAGGCGCUGACCUCAUACUGGUAGAAAGGACAGAUAGGGAUCAUUGGGUGCCGUUUGUCCCUUAGAAUGAUCGGGAACGGGGACGGGGAGGGAGCAUCGCCUGCAGAAGAGGUGAAAAAUCCCAAAGAAAGAUCCCUAGUGUCGCCUCUUUCACUUUAAUCCUGGCACAGGAGGGCACGGAGAUGGAAGUGAGACGCCCUCAACCUCUUCUGGAGAGGAUGGUGUGACUACAGGCGCCGGACCUCCAACGUCAGCGCUGCCAGCGCGUGCGCCGUCAUUUCCGGCCAGCUGUUUUGGGCUGGAUGCGGAGGUGGCGGACAGAGCCUCAGGGCUGGGCGACUGUGUGACUCCAAGCUGUCAGAUUGGCUUUCAGAGCCUCAGCCGAGCUUAGCUGGCAGCCAGGAAGUUCCACUCCAGCGAGCUCCGAGCCUCUGUGUUCUGCCGAAGGGCCCAAGAGAUUCCAUCACUCUGGACAGGUCAGUGGCCCAGCUUCAGCCUUAACACCACGCCAGCCACCUGAGAUGUACAUUGAGAGUCAACUUUCUUCUACCAGCAUGUUUGGAAAAACAACAACAGAUGACAGCAUGACCCCUGCCCCAUCUCCAUGGGCUGACACAUGGCAUGUCCAUCCCUGCCUCUGGGAAGCAAAGUAUUGGAGGGAGCCAUGCUGAGAGCUUGGUGGAGGUGAAUAGGAGCUGGGUGACUCUCAAGCACCAAGGACACUUAACUCACCUCUGGAAGCAGCUUUAGUGACAAGGGACCAAGCGAGUCUUCUUGUUUGGGGUCUGCCUUUAAUUGCCCAAGCAAGUAAAGGGCUGGAGAAACGGCCCAAUGGUUAAGAAGUGUUUGCUGCUCUUUCAGAGGACUGGGAUUUGGUUCCCAGAACCAAUGUCAGGCAGCUCACAACUGCCUGUAACUCCAGCUCCAGAGGAUCUGACACCAGCUCCUGGCCUCUGUGCAUAACACCCAUAAUAUACAUUAAAAAUAAAUCUGGGGGAAGGUGGAAAUAAAUAAAGUAAAACAAAUCUCUCUUUUUUUUUUCUUUCCUCUAACAAGGAGGAUACCCUAUAGCCUCCUUACUGCCCAGGCUGGGGAAACCAAGGUGGCCAUCCUCAAACCUGAUCCUCAGCUCUUGCUUGCCUCUGGGACUUCUGCAAGGGCAGCUCUGGCUCAUGGGUCCCUUCCCACGGAGCUGCAGGAUGAAGAAAUGAUGUGUGGGAGCAGAUCAACUUACAAACACUCAGGGAAGCCCACCUGAGCUAACCCUUUAGAAUUCCAUCCCUCAAUCCGGGCGUCCCUCACACUCAGCUCCAGAUGGCUUCACCUCUGCCCAGUUGCUAGAGCUCAGUCUGUGUGAGCAUCAGUCUGAUACACCGGUUAAUUCAGGCGCUGUCAAUCAUGCACUCACUCCACCACCGUCAUCUCUGCCCUUCUCUCCCCACAGCCUUGCCCAGCCCACAGUUACGGCCAUUCUAGGCCAUUGCGAAAGUUCCUAGGCCUAUCUUGCCUCUCUGCAACCCCA